rnacentral:sRNA from 1 species
UUUAAUAUAAUAUCACUCAGUUUUGUGAUACAGUUUAAGUGAUUUAAUUCAACAUUUUUCUAAUUCUAAUAUAAUUAUACAUAUCUCAAUACUCCCCCUAAAGUUGGAGUGUGAAGAUUGUGAUUUUCCCAAUUAGAUAUCAACUCUAGAAAAUGAAUAUAUGUAGAGCAAUGAGAUUCCAAGGGAGGACCUAGAAGAUAGAGAUGGAUCGUGAUGUUGCAUAGUAAAAAAGGCAUACAAGUACAACUAUUGAGAAGUUUCCCAAUAUGUGUUUGUGCGCGACUAAUGACAUAUAGAAGAUGAUUAAUAUGGUGAAAUCGGGACCGGUCACAGCAUGUCUCUCUCUUUUCACAUCUGACUACGAAUAUGCACAAGAAAACAAGGUUUGUCGCUGUAUUUAAGUUUUUUCUGAUAAAUCAUAUAUGCAGUCAAAAACAGGAAAGUAAACUUCAACCUAGCUAGGAUCAAAACUGCAUUAAUAGCAAGUAUCUUACUAUGUAAUGUAUGGUUUUCAAAUUUAGUAACUCACUUGAUCGUGACACGUGUCAAGUCUAUCGUUCAGAUGUUAACAUGUGUAAAUAGGAAACUAACAAUAAGAUGGAGUAUACAGAAUUAAAUUGUAUUUGUAUU